rnacentral:rRNA from 1 species
UACAGAGGGUGCAAGCGUUAAUCGGAAUUACUGGGGCGUAAAGCGUGCGUAGACGGUUACAUAAGUCGGGUGUGAAAGCCCCCGGGCUCAACCUGGGAAUUGCAUUCGAGACUGCGUAGCUAGGGUGCGGAAGAGGGAAGCGGAAUUUCCGGUGUAGCGGUGAAAUGCGUAGAUAUCGGAAGGAACACCAGUGGCGAAAAGCGGCUUCCUGGUCCAGCACCGACGUUCAGGCACGAAAGCGUGGGGGAGCAAACAGG